rfam:Danio rerio chromosome 4, GRCz11 reference primary assembly.
GGCGCUGUGGCUUAGUUGGUCAAAAAACCUGUCUAGUAAUCAAGAGAUCCUGACUUCGAAUCCCAGCAGUGCCU